rnacentral:rRNA from 1 species
GACGAACCGUGCAAACGUUGUUCGGAAUCACUGGGCUUAAAGGGCGCGUAGGCGGGUUCACAAGUCUGUGGUGAAAUCCUCCAGCUUAACUGGAGAAGUGCCGUGGAUACUGUGGACCUCGAGGAGGGUAGGGGCAUCUGGAACAUUGGGUGGAGCGGUGAAAUGCGUUGAUAUCGGGAGGAACAUCUGUGGCGAAGGCGACACCCUGGACCAGCACUGACACUGAGGCACGAAAGCGUGGGGAGCAAACAGG